UACGUAGGGGGCAAGCGUUAAUCGGAAUUACUGGGCGUAAAGCGUGCGCAGGCGGUUAUGUAGGACAGUUGUGAAAUCCCCGGGCUCAACCUGGGAACUGCAUCUGUGACUGCAUAGCUAGAGUACGGUAGAGGGGGAUGGAAUUCCGCGUGUAGCAGUGAAAUGCGUAGAUAUGCGGAGGAACACCGAUGGCGAAGGCAAUCCCCUGGACCUGUACUGACGCUCAUGCACGAAAGCGUGGGGAGCAAACAGG
rnacentral:rRNA from 1 species